rnacentral:rRNA from 1 species
AGAGUUUGAUCCUGGCUCAGGACGAACGUUGGCGGUGCGCUUAAUGCAUGCAAGUCGAGGGAGAACCUUUCGAUCCGUAAGGACCGAAUGGGGAAACCGGCGAACGGGUGCGUAACACGUGAGGAACCUGCCCCGAAGACCGGGAUAGCCCGAGGAAACUCGGAUUAAUACCGGAUACCCUCCUCGGACCACAUGGUCUGUUGAGGAAAUGGUCCGCCGCUUCGGGAUGGCCUCGCGGCCUAUCAGCUUGUUGGUGAGGUAAUGGCUCACCAAGGCAAAGACGGGUAGCUGGUCUGAGAGGACGAUCAGCCACACUGGGACUGAGACACGGCCCAGACUCCUACGGGAGGCAGCAGCAGGGAAUAUUGCACAAUGGGCGAAAGCCUGAUGCAGCGACACCGCGUGCGGGAUGAAGGCCCUCGGGUUGUAAACCGCUUUCAGGAGGGACGAAAAUGACGGUACCUCCAGAAGAAGGCCCGGCCAACUACGUGCCAGCAGCCGCGGUAAUACGUAGGGGCCAAACGUUGUCCGGAUUUAUUGGGCGUAAAGGGCUCGUAGGCGGUUCAACAAGUCGAUCGUGAAAAGCCGGGGCUCAACCCCGGGACGCCGGUCGAAACUGUUGUGACUAGGGUCCGGUAGAAGUGAGUGGAAUUCUCGGUGUAACGGUGGAAUGCGCAAAUAUCGAGAGGAACAACCGUU